CAAGUGCACUUAGGGCCUCUGCGUGGUCAAGCCCACGAGUGCCCCAUUGAGCAGAGCAGGUCACCUGGCCAUCCCACAUCGUUGGGAGGCCCCAUGACAUCACGUGGCAAAAGGGGAAUAAAGAACAGGGAGCCAUGACCCACCAUCAGGCACACGGGGGUGACGACCGAGCUGGGUGCUCACCCGGGCAGCCCAGCUCCAGCCUCCUGGUCUCAAGCACCAGGCUGCUCUGCCCCACAGGCCUGGAGAGGGCUCAGCUUUCAAUCCGGGAGAAUGGGAAGCUGCACUGGGUUGAAUAGCGUUGCCCCUCCCGGAACCUCAGAAUGUGACUUUCUUUGGAAAGAGGGUCUUUGCAGAUGUGAUUAGUUAAGAUGAGGUCGUACUGGGUUCGGGUGACGCUAAAUACAAUGACUAGCGUCCUUGUCUGAAGCCGUGUGAAGACACAAAUGGAGAAGGUCGUGUGACCGUGAGGCAGAGAUGGGAGCGAUGCAUCUACAAGCCAAGGGACCCCAAGGAGGCCGGUCCCCACCAGAAGCUGGAGGGGGCCUGGAACAGAUGCUGCCUCGGAGCCCCAGGAGGGACCGACCCUGCCCCCCAUUUCAGACUUCCGGUUUCCUGAACUUGAGAGACAAAUCACCCCUGUCUGAAGCCACCCGGUUUGUGGUCGUCUGUUGAGCUGCCUCAGUACAGAAGCAGCUAAGGUUCCAGGCAGCGAACACAUGAUCUGAUUUCUGUGUGAAAGGCCCCUGGCUGUGACAGGCAGCCAGCGGAUGCUUCUGUCCCUGAAUUACCUUCUUGAGGAAUUUGCCUCAGCCUGUUCCUGCCUAAGGCCCUCCCAUGAGUUGACCCUCAAAGUUUGGGUCCACCGGCUCCUCAAGCCAUUCAGACCCCUCGUCCUCUGGGAGCUUUCCAGGCCACUGGGCACCCAGCCUCCAGCUCUGUCUCCUCUGAACCAUGUGGCUUUUAGUCUUUUGUCUUUUGGCAUAUUUGUGCCUUUUGUCCCUAUCUUCCUUGGCCAUGUGUCAGGGAUAGAUGACGCCCGACAGCCACAAGUGGCCCCCACAACCACGCAGGCGGAUCCCCCCGCACAGAGCAGGGCCCCUGGCUUGGGGUGUGGAGCAGGCACUUUGUCCUCCUGGGUCUCAGUUCACCCAUCUGCAAAAGGAAUGGGUUUGGCUGAAUGGUUUCCAAGGGCUCCUUCUGACUCGAACAUUCUAUGAUCUAAAUACUUAUUUUGGAAUUCUUGGAAUUCCAUCUUAUGAUUCUUCUUGCUCGUUCAAUUACUCAACAAACACAAACCAAGAACUCACCCUGUGGCUGACCCCGUUCUCAGAGCAGGGAUCCACAGCGAACAGACAGUUUCUUCUCUCACAUGGUUGACAUUCCUCCUGUUUCAAAUUUAGCGUCUUCAAGGUAGGCUGGAGAAGAGGGGGGACCCCAGGAUGCCCGUGGGAGGUCACUGGCCUGAGUGACCAGGCGUUUGGUAGCUCUGCUCUCUAAGUAGGGGCCACGGGUCUCUUGCGGCUUUGUCGAGAAGGGCCCAGAUCCGGGAGCCUGGAGCCCGGACGUCGAGGUGGCAGGAGGCCCCGCGCCCGGCGGGUUCACGGCAGUAACCAGGAGGGGUCCCAGGCGGCAACAUCCUCGUGACCCCAAACCCCGGGGAGGAGCCGCAGGGGGCACGUCCUGAUGAAAUCUUCAGACGCCUUGGACCUCCCAAGGCUGCCUUCUCAGCGCCGCCUCCUUCACAAGCCCUAGAAACGGGAAGUAAACGUAACCACAGAGAAUGUCACAUCAGAUGCUGGGCUUAAUCAGGGGCACGUUCUCAUCAGUCUGGCUGUUCGACUUCUCAGAUGACUCGACAAAAAGACGUCUCAUUUUGCACCCCGAGGCAUUUUCCAGUGCAAUCGAGGGAAAGAAGAAAUAGAGGGAGGGAGGGAGGGAAAGGAGAGGAAGGAGAGAGGGGACGUCGGACCCAGAUGAGAUCUGAGCUCCUGGAUCCGCUCCGCGCUGUGCUCCCGGGCCCAUCAUCAGCCGCUUCGCCUGUGGGCGUCUCUGAGCCCUCGUGCUGCGCGAUGGGGCGCUGGGCACACGCGCGCCCCCCUCCUGGGGCGCCGGCGACUGUCGGUGGCCCAGACUCCCGGCUUCAUCAUCACCAGCACGACAGCCCCGCGGCCCCGCGCCAUCGGGAGUGCCCGCCCCGGCCGGCCGCCCCCCAGACCCCGGGGGCAGCGCCGCUCUGGCCCCACCCGGCUGCGGAGGACACGUAGGGACAGGAGCACUUUCCCGCGUGGACGCGGCCUGGGGAGCAGGGACGGGCCCCCAGCGCUCCCGCCCCCAGCCCCUCUUUCUCCAAGGAGGCAGCCGGAAGGAGCCGGCUGUUCCAUGUUGGUCCCCCGGGUGGCCUUGGCCUUGAGAGGACCGACCUGGCUGUAAAUAGAGGGCUCGCGGGGCGGCCGGGCCUGCGUUUCCCGUGAGUCCAGCUUCUGGGAGGAGCAGAGCGGGCACCUGGAGCCGCGAACCUCCGCCUGGCCUCGCAGGGGAGACCCUGCGCCGCCCCCGCCGGCCCCCACCCGCCCCCUCCCCGUCGAGAGGCAGAGGCCGGCUGCACGUGGCGGUGCCUCCAUCGUCACAGCCACAGGCGGGUCCUCGAGACGCGCCCGACCGCGUCCAGGAGCGCAGGUCGGCCCGCGUGUGAGAAUGGCACGCCUCUUGCUGUGGGUGAUUGUGCAUCCAGGACAAAAAAAAUAAAUUAAAAAGUGCCUUAGGGACGGAUGCUGUAGGGCUCCUUUUAUUAUUACACACUCACAACUACACAACGCAGUGAGCCGCCAUUCCUCACUUUAAGCCACGUUCCAGCUUCGGUGACGAACUCAUUCUUCUCCCCUUUUCCGAGACCUUGCCUUGUGGUAUCUUUCUCCCAGGGGAAGCCUGCAAGCCUGGUUCCCACGGCGCUGCCCCCUAACAACCCUGAUGCAAGGAUAUGAACGCUUGAGGGCCUUUUCCUCUCCUCUGAUAAACAUGUGACAACAUGGAUUUUCAAGGCCCAUUUGAGUCCUUCAAGAAGAAAGAGAUUCCGGAAUAUACGAGGAGACUUAUUAGAAAUUUUGAGGGAGGAGAUAGGAAUUAUUCUUUUCUUUGGACAGAUUUUUGUCUCGUGGCAGCAAGCUAUAAAGCAAAUAAGAAAGGGCAUAAACGUAACUCAAAAACAGAAGGAAAAUCCCUGCUUUUAAGGAAAUAUGUAAACAGAAAAGAUAAAUGAUGAGGCAGUGAAUUUCAGCUCGGUUCAGCCUGUGACGUCUCCAUGUUCACAGACAGCCUCUGUGAGAUUUACGCAGCAUCAGGGGAGCAUCCAGCACACCGUGACCCACACUGAGUCCUGCUGAAGUGACCACAACGUUAAGAUGAGAAACUAUAUCAGCCCCAAUUAAAAGGCAACAUUUUGUUCGCAUCAGAGAAGAUGUUCUCUGUUGGGGUCUUAUUGUUGAAUUUCAACAGAAGUCCCAGAAUUGAGUGCCACUGAAUCGUGUGUUCAUCCUUGAUCCAAUCUCUACGGCCAAGGGUGUGGAAUCCUCCAGUGGGUCAAGCUCACGGCUGUUGCAGAAGAGGAAUCCAGACUCCUGCUUUUGAAACAAGGCCUCGCUGUCGAGGAGCAUGGUGCUGCCGGAACGAAGGAGGAGAGAAAACUCAUCAGUUUCUAGGUGGCCUUUUAGGUUCAGCCUUGGAGGCCGCAUAGCAAGACAAGCCCGCUCAGAUUCAAGGAGGGGGAACACCAUCCCACCUCUCACGGGGGUAGCGUCACCACCCACGGUAAUCAGCUGGACACACAUCCUGAGCUUGGCUUUUCCUCUUUCCCCAUUUCACUCUUUCCAGUCCUCAGAUCACCUCCCUAAAUAACCUCCCUGCCUACAAACCCUUGUCUCAGGCUCUGCUUGUGGGGGAACGCAAGCAAAGACCCCGUUCACAGCCUCAACCUCAAGCAGCUUGGACCCUCCCGGCUCACGGGAUGAGGGUUAGUUUAGACAGAAAUGAGUUCCGCAGUGAACUCGCUUCAGUUAGGACGUGUGCUGGUGUCUGGGAGAAAAGCAAACUCACCCGGGAGUAAAUUUCCACAUCAACGCGUCCUCUGCUUUCUUCCACAAAACCACUUAUCUCCCCCAUUUUAAAUCUCUCCCAUUAGUGGCUGCCUGCAUUCCUUGAACCUUGCAUUAUUUGGAAGAGCUUUUUAAUUAUCUUUUAAUUCUUUCUCAAUUUUCUGAUGCAUCAGCAGGUAUAAAAGGGAGGUGAAAAAUUGCUGCCACUGUUCUCCUUGGCGUCAUAAUCCCGUCAUCGGGGUCUGGGUUGACUCCAGCUGCGCCGCGUCCGAGGGACCCCAUUGAAAAGAAAUCCCCCGGGAGUUUGAAUUUGCUUUCUCUGCUGUUGGCUCACUUCACUCUCAUCUGCCUGGAGCACGGAAAGUUCAGAACUCGAGGUCAAACUCGGUGCUGGUUUAUUUCAAAGCAUUUGCCACUCAGGGCUCAGAUUCCCCCCCCCGCUUCUUAAAAACAGCUACCUGUGACUUUUUAGCACUAAAGAACAGUUCGCAUGCUUAAAAUCUUCACUGAUUCAGAAGUCAUGUCAACGGCACGCUCUGAUCCAUCUACUUGGUCUUACUUAGGGGAAGUUCUUUUAAAAAUAGGUCACAGGCUAAUGAUACGGCUAGGACACCCCCAGACACGAGGACCCCAAAGCUCACCAGGUGGACAGAUGAGACCCAAGAUAGCGUGUCCCUGUGCUGGUUGGAUUCUCAGAAAGCCACCAAAUGGUGCUGUGGGUUGAGAGGGUGGCGCCUGGUCUAUGCGUCAGGACACCUGCACCUCAUCAGCAACGCCAUGCUGAGUGUGCAUUCUGUGCCCAGGAACUCUUCCAGGUGCCCACCAGAUAUUGACCCAUUUGACCCUUCCAGUGCCCUUUGGGGAAGACACUGUUGUCUUCCAUUUCAAGCUCAAACAGGAGAAAACAGCCUCAGAGAGCCCAUGUAAUGAGCUGGUGGGUGGUAUCACCUCUCCUGGAACCUAGAACACCAACCCCAGAGCUUAGACCAAUAACGAUCCAUGUCCUGUGUGGCCACCUCGAAAGGAGCUCUGUUAGGGCAGCCAGAUUUAGCAAAUAAAAGUACAGAUGCCCACCCAGCUAAACGAGGAAUAGCGUUCACGUCAGUCUGCCCCAAAUUUUGGAUGGUCCUGAAUUUUAUCUAACAACCGUGGAUUCUGUUAGCAAGAAAGAAGAGGGGGUGGCUGGUGGAGACAGACAUGCCACUGAAUGUCCAGUGUUGAGAACGUGGCCCCGCACACUGCCAGCCACGGAGGGCCUGGACCAAGCAGGGAGCAUGGACUGUGGGACUCAUGUGGUCACCAUGACACCCAUAAAGAGGAUGACGGAGCAAGACGAAGAGGACAGAAGGAACGGCUUGAAUCGUGUGGCUAUUUCGGGAAAGAAAAUGGUAACCAGCAUCCUGGUGAGGACACUCGGGUCGUCUGAGUCCAUGCUGGCUUUGAACAGAGUCAGCAGGGGGUUUCGAAGACGCCUCAGAAUUAUUGCCUUAUCUAUACCCACUUAAACUAUGAUAUACUUAACUUUUUCUUUAAUUUGACUCAGUUUUUUACAUAAAUAAAUGCAUUCAAACAGAAAACUUGAUAUCACAACUGUGAAAGUAAAAUCACUAUCCCUUUCUAUAAAUUGAAGGGAACUCUUAGGAUAAAUCUAUAAGUUUUUUAAAAAAC
ensembl:lncRNA